AUGUCUGUAGUUUAUAAGCCACCUAGUCUACAGUAUUUUUGUUUAGCAGCCCUGAAGUCAAAACCACUGGGAUUAAUAUCAAGGCAGUGGAGAGAACUUCUGGACCUGAACCCAGGCAAGAAUGAAGAUUGUUCUCAGAGUGUCAUGGAUCAUGUAGCCACUCUGUGUGUGACUCUGACGAAGUCUGCAGCAUUUCCCUCUGUUGCUGUGGUUUGCUCACAUGACUCUGCUCUUCUGGUCACUGGGGAGCAUAACUGGCUGCCCAUUUCUCUGUUUGUUUGAGUCACACAGUGUCUUCUCAGAGAUUAUUCAUUCUCAUUUUCUGAGGCAUCUAUAAUACUUUCUGAACACAUUUAGACUUUUGAACUUCACAUAUCAGUGGUACUUCCCUCAAUUUUUGAGAAUUAUCGUAGUGUUUUGAUUUUACUAUUCAGCCAAAUAUGUUAAUAUUAUGAACCAAUUACUACUCAUUUUUAUUACAGUGGAUAAAUGAAUGUUUUUGUAAGGGAAAUAGGGAAUUAUAAUGGCAGAAAUUAAGAAUGUAGAAUUAAUUUAGCUUUAGGUUAAAUGUAUUAUUGUAUUUUUUUUUUUUUUUUUGGUAGAAAAAUCAGUGACAACUUAAUCACUGACUGGUGCUGGACAAAGGCCUAGAAUGUGGGAGUCAUUGCCCUAGAUAAUUCCCCCUUGUUAUGGACAAUUUCAAUGGCACCCAUAAUUCUAACAUGGUGUCAGAACAGGGGCUGUCUUUCUCUAAGGUUUAUCUUCUCUUUGUAGGGCCUUCAUUUAUUUAACAAACACAAUCCAGGCCUGUGCUUUGUGCCAGGGACAUAGAGAUAAAAGUCCUUCCUCCUGAAACUCACAGUCUGUUAAUAGAAAUUUUUUAGUUCACUCACGUUCCUGGAAAUCGCCAUGUUUACUGAAAAUACAUAAAAGAGAAAUGUAAUACGUAUAGUCUUUUAAAGCAGUAAACUACUGCCAAUAUGCAGGAAAAAAUUUUCAAUUCUUUCUAUCUUUAUUAAAUUUUCGUUUAUGACUACUCAUUUUUUUGUAAAUGACCAUCAUUUUUAUGAUGAUUUUUACUGUAAAUUCUUUGGCUCCAUCACUUUUUGACUAUCAUUAUAUUGUUUUCCUUAUUCACCAAACUCUUCACCUGCCUCUACUUUUACUCAGAACUAGUAAGAUAUUUUGCAGUCUUUUUCUCUUUUCUAAUUCCUUCUGUUGGUUGUACUUAUUUUUAUUUUUCCAGUGGUUUCUCACAAAUAAAAAGCUCAAGCAUAAUAACA
rnacentral:lncRNA from 1 species